CCUACGGGAGGCAGCAGUGGGGAAUAUUGCGCAAUGGGGGAAACCCUGACGCAGCAACGCCGCGUGAGUGAGGAAGGACUUCGGUCUGUAAAGCUCUGUUAACGUGGAAAAAUGGUAGUUGGUCUAAUAGGCCGAUUAUUUGAUGGUACACAUAGAGGAAGCACCGGCUAACUUCGUGCCAGCAGCCGCGGUAAUACGAAGGGUGCAAGCGUUGUUCGGAUUUAUUGGGCGUAAAGCGCGCGUAGGCGGACCUGCAAGUCAGAUGUGAAAUCUCGGGGCUCAACCUCGAAACUGCGUCUGAAACUACAGGUCUAGAAUCUUGGAGGGGGAAGGGGAAUUUCUCAUGUAGGGGUAAAAUCCGUAGAUAUGAGAAGGAACACCAGAGGCGAAGGCGCCUUCCUGGACAAGUAUUGACGCUGAGGCGCGAAAGCGUGGGGAUCAAACAGGAUUAGAUACCCUGGUAGUCCACGCUGUAAACGAUGAAUACUAGAUAUUGCGGGAUUUGACCCCAGCAGUGUCGUAGCUAACGCGUUAAGUAUUCCGCCUGGGAAGUACGGUCGCAAGCUAAAACUUAAUGAAUUGACGG
rnacentral:rRNA from 1 species